rnacentral:rRNA from 1 species
ACUGCUCAGUAACACGUAGUCAACAUGCCCAGAGGACGUGGAUAACCUCGGGAAACUGAGGAUAAACCGCGAUAGGUCAUAAUAUCUGGAAUGAUUUAUGGUUCAAAUCUAUAUGGCCUCUGGAUUGGACUGCGGCCGAUCAGGCUGUUGGUGAGGUAAUGGCCCACCAAACCUGAAACCGGUACGGGCUCUGAGAGGAGAAGCCCGGAGAUGGGCACUGAGACAAGGGCCCAGGCCCUAUGGGGCGCAGCAGGCGCGAAAACUCUGCAAUAAGCGAAAGCUUGACAGGGUUAUUCUGAGUGAUUUCCGCUAAGGAAAUCUUUUGGCACCUCUAAAAAUGGUGCAGAAUAAGGGGUGGGCAAGCCUGGUGUCAGCCGCCGCGGUAAUACCAGCACCCCGAGUGGUCGGGACGAUUAUUGGGCCUAAAGCAUCCGUAGCCGGUUCUACAAGUCUUCCGUUAAAUCCACCUGCUUAACAGAUGGGCUGCGGAGGAUACUAUAGAGCUAGGAGGCGGGAGAGGCAAGCGGUACUUAGUGGGUAGGGGUAAAAUCCGUUGAUCCAUUGAAGACCACCAGUGGCGAAGGCGGCUUGCCAGAACGCACUCGACGGUGAGGGAUGAAAGCUGGGGGAGCAAACCGGAUUAGAUACCCGGGUAGUCCCAGCUGUAAACGAUGCAGACUCGGUGAUGAAUAGGCUUCGUGCCUAUUCAGUGCCGCAGGGAAGCCGUUAAGUCUGCCGCCUGAGGAGUACGGUCGCAAGACUGAAACUUAAAGGAAUUGGCGGGGGAGCA